UCUGCCGGCUUUGCAGGGUUGACUGGGUGAGAUCCCAUAAGAUCUCACAAGCUAAGCAGUGUUGGGUGGGAAAUACUUAAGGAAAACCCAAGAUGCGGCUGGU
rnacentral:rRNA from 1 species